AUUGAACGCUGGCGGCAGGCCUAACACAUGCAAGUCGAACGGUAACAGGAAGAAGCUUGCUUCUUUGCUGACGAGUGGCGGACGGGUGAGUAAUGUCUGGGAAACUGCCUGAUGGAGGGGGAUAACUACUGGAAACGGUAGCUAAUACCGCAUAAUGUCGCAAGACCAAAGAGGGGGACCUUCGGGCCUCUUGCCAUCGGAUGUGCCCAGAUGGGAUUAGCUAGAAGGUGGGGUAACGGCUCACCUAGGCGACGAUCCCUAGCUGGUCUGAGAGGAUGACCAGCCACACUGGAACUGAGACACGGUCCAGACUCCUACGGGAGGCAGCAGUGGGGAAUAUUGCACAAUGGGCGCAAGCCUGAUGCAGCUAUGCCGCGUGUAUGAAGAAGGCCUUCGGGUUGUAAAGUACUUUCAGCGGGGAGGAAGGGAGUAAAGUUAAUACCUUUGCUCAUUGACGUUACCCGCAGAAGAAGCACCGGCUAACUCCGUG
rnacentral:rRNA from 1 species